rnacentral:tRNA from 1 species
GCCUGGGUGGCUCACUUGGUUGGGCAUCUGACUUUGGCUCAGGUCAUGAUCUCGUGGUUUGUGGGUUCGAGUACCACGUCAGGCU